GACGAACGCUGGCGGCGUGCUUAACACAUGCAAGUCGAGCGGAAAGGCCCUUCGGGGUACUCGAGCGGCGAACGGGUGAGUAACACGUGAGUAACCUGCCCCCGACUUUGGGAUAACCCUCGGAAACGGGGGCUAAUACCGGAUACGACACAGCUUCGCAUGGGGUCUGUGUGGAAAGUUUUUCGGUUUGGGAUGGGCUCGCGGCCUAUCAGCUUGUUGGUGGGGUGAUGGCCUACCAAGGCGACGACGGGUAGCCGGCCUGAGAGGGCGACCGGCCACACUGGGACUGAGACACGGCCCGGACUCCUACGGGAGGCAGCGGUGGGGAAUAUUGCACAAUGGGCGGAAGCCUGAUGCAGCGACGCCGCGUGAGGGAUGACGGCCUUCGGGUUGUAAACCUCUUUCAGCAGGGACGAAGCGUAAGUGACGGUACCUGCAGAAGAAGCGCCGGCCAACUACGUG
rnacentral:rRNA from 1 species